AUUGAACGCUGGCGGAAUGCUUUACACAUGCAAGUCGAACGGCAGCACGGGGGCAACCCUGGUGGCGAGUGGCGAACGGGUGAGUAAUACAUCGGAACGUGCCCGGUCGUGGGGGAUAACGUAGCGAAAGUUACGCUAAUACCGCAUACGAUCUGAGGAUGAAAGCGGGGGACCUUCGGGCCUCGCGCGAUCGGAGCGGCCGAUGUCAGAUUAGGUAGUUGGUGGGGUAAAGGCCUACCAAGCCGACGAUCUGUAGCUGGUCUGAGAGGACGACCAGCCACACUGGGACUGAGACACGGCCCAGACUCCUACGGGAGGCAGCAGUGGGGAAUUUUGGACAAUGGGCGCAAGCCUGAUUCAGCCAUUCCGCGUGCAGGACGAAGGCCUUCGGGUUGUAAACUGCUUUUGUAUGGAACGAAAAGGCUCUGGCUAAUACCUGGGGCUCAUGACGGUACCGUAAGAAUAAGCACCGGCUAACUACGUG
rnacentral:rRNA from 1 species